rnacentral:lncRNA from 1 species
AUUAUGAUUGUUUUGGUCCCUCCGUACCGUACUUCGAAAGUGGGAAGUGUUGCUUGGGCGAGCGAGAAGCAAGAGGGCGGCAGCAGGCCGCGUCUCUAUCUCCAGCCACCACACUUCCGUGUCAGCGCGCUGCACUUCCGUACGGCCGUACGACCGUACGUGUCGUGCCACCAGCCUCCAUCCUCCAUGCAUCAGUAUGCAGCCUUGGACACCGGUGUCCACCAGUCUGGGGGCGCGGGGGGGCGUGAGGGAGGGGGGGAGGGGUUGGGUUGGGUUGGGUUGGGGCCUUGGGGGCGGACGGGGACCAGACCGAGCGAGAAGCCACGGCGCACCGCUCGCCAUGCAUGGCUCUCAUGCAUGCGAGUGUUCAGGAAACCGCAACCGCAUCACCCGCGUUCGCCACAACCAGUGCAUUUGCCAGGUCUCGUAAUAAUCUAGCACUGCCAUGUGCUGCAUGCCCCUUCCCCACGCCCGACCCAGAACCAGAGGGCAAUAAGGGCAGUUGCUCAGGACAUGGGGCGGAUGAGCCUCAAGCCUCAAUCCCACACAUGACCUACUACUAACACUAACCCAUCCAUAACCAACUAGCCGCGAACACAAGCAGUCCCUCCCGCUCCCACUCACCCAGGUUGUCGAUUCCUGUGGCUGUCUAUUCCUGCUGUGGCUAGACAUCGCACGGGCAGUGCAGGCGCAAGUGACAGG